AAAGAACUUGGGCAGGCAGAAGAGGAGAGGAAGGGAGUGGGGAAAGGACAAAGCGGGGGGAAGAAGGGAACUCCGGAGCUGCUGAGAUGCAGAGGGAAGUUGGUUGCAGCUGACUUCGCUUUCUCGUACGGAGCGGUCGGAGCUCAGCACCGCCCUUCCCCGCUCCGCACGGCCGGAGGGGAGAAUCGCUCAAAGCGAAAGCAAAAGGUUUGGAAGGGAGAGGAGAGGGAUGCACCGCGCUGAGCACACAGCACUGUCCGGGAGCGGGCGGACAUGGGAAGGAGCAUUCAGCCCCGAAAAGGUGUCAGAAGUCAAUGGCUCAGACAAAGGCUUCGUCUUCUGUAACCUCCUCAUUUGCCAGGAGAGACUGUUUCUUAAUCUGUUUUAUUUCUCCUCCACCGGGAAAUCAAAUAAAAUGAAGUAUUGAAAAGAGGAGGUGAGAGGCAAAGCCGUGAGCCUGCCUGGAAAGGGACCCGAUGGUUCACCAUCAUUUCGAGAAGAGAUCAUCUCCCCUCCAAGAGGGUAACCGGAGCUUUGGAGGAGCACAAACGCUGCGAGAUAACCUUGCAGGAGCUGAAGGCGAUGGCAAAGCGUGCUGUAAUUGCGGUGCGGAUCUUUGCUGGUGUUUCUGGCCAGGAGGAAUGCUCGGGAUCCCGCUGCUCUGAGCGGACUUUGAUUCGCGUAACUUUGCGCGCAGCCACGAGGGAUGGAUUCGGAUCGAGAGGAGCGAGAACGGAGAGUGUUUCGCGGGUGGGGGUAGUGGUGGUGAUGUUCGCAUCGUGUUUUGGGAUUCCGCAGCACAGAGGGGGGAGAGGAGGCUGCGUUAACCCGAGUUUGCUGUAAGGUGAAGUGUCUCCAUCUCCUCCUCGCACUGCUCGUUGCACUCCCCGAACGGAAGGGGUUUCGUAAGGCAACCGCGAUCGUUUCACGCGUUUUUUUAUGCGGGUUUGAGUGCGUGCGGAGCCCACGGCGACGCGGGGAGCGUUCAGUGCAACGGACGUUCCCGUGUCAAUAAAAGAAAUCUUCACCAGAUAUGUUCGCCUUUGUGUGCCACCACCAAAACUCCCCAUCCACGACUCAUUCCGUGACCUUGCCUGCUCGCGUGAAGGCUCCAAAAAACUGCUGCUCCUCAUUAGGGCUGCGCUGCUCGGGUAAUUUCUGCUCGUUUUGCGGUUCGUCUGUGGUAUAUUCUGACAUAUUUCUCCCCUGGAAAACGUCCCCACUGAGUCCCAGCGGUCCUCUCCCCCCAUGCUCAGCCUUUUCUCUCUCCUUCUCCCUCUGCCUCUUCCUCUUCCCCUCCUGCACAUACACACAACCCUUCUUUGUAAGGAUUCUCCCAGAUAUUCCACCAAUUUGGGAAAGCCGAGCUGCUUUCACGUCACUCCCUGCAUCUCAGCACCUUCGCACCGUCACUAUUUUUUAAAAUGGGAAUAGAUCAAAGAAUGACGAGCACAGAUAAGUGUGUCUAUAGAUACGUUUUGUUGCUUUUUUUUUUUCCUUGCGAACGUGAAAGUAACCGUCAUUGGAGAGCUGUGAUUGACAAAUAAAUUGGUCUCGAUAAAGGCCAAAGAAGACAGUUUGCUCCUGCAGGAAUAUUUCCCUUUAUGGGCUCUCAUAAAGCAGGGGGCUCAGAACGGAACGAGGGAUAAAUUCUGUGGAUGACUUUCCUCCUCGAAUUUGGCAAACCACGAAUCCCUCCCCAAACAUCCCUCCCGUCGGGGUUUUGUUUCCAAGCCUUUCCUGUUGUUCUCCGAGGGGGAAACCCCUCAUGCAGGGGCAGCGCGGUGCAGUGAAGGGCAGCGUUUGGUGUUGGCUCAGCUGAGGUUCGUGACUUUGGGGGGGUCCGGGG